rfam:Aedes albopictus isolate Foshan contig98807, whole genome shotgun sequence.
GGCUCCGUAGCUUGGAGGAAAGAAGCACCCGUCCAGCGAAUUGGUAGUCGCGGGUUCAAUUCCUACCGGAGCCC